rnacentral:rRNA from 1 species
GACGAACGCUGGCGGCGUGCUUAGCACAUGCAAGUCGAGCGGUAAGGCCCUUUCGGGGGUACGACGAGCGGCGAACGGGUGAGUAACACGUGGGUGACCUGCCUUUAGCUCUGGGAGUAAGCCUGGGAAACCGGGGUACGUAAUACCGGAUAUGACUCCGCGGCGCAUGUUGUGGGGUGGAAAGCCUUGUGCGGCUGGAGAUGGGCCCGCGGCCUAUCAGCUUGUUGGUGGGGUGAUGGCCUACCAAGGCGACGACGGGUAGCCGGCCUGAGAGGGC